rnacentral:lncRNA from 1 species
AUCAAAAUCUCCUGAAUACGACAAGCUGAAAGAAAAAACUUACACUUCAUUAAAAGCUGUAAAUUUUGAUUGCUAUCCAAUUUUCACCAAAAUUGACACGAAUCCAAAUACUGACCAUAGAGACUAUGAAGACAAUGAAGACUUUAGCGAGUCACGUGACACAUCCUCAUAUGUACCCGAAACGGAAAUAGAGUCUGAGGGAGGGGAAGAGGAAACUAUUUCCCCAAUUUUUAAGACCAUAAACGUAACUUGCCCUGAAUCAACUUUAACAAAGGACGAACCCUCGGAAAAGCCCCAUAUUUCUAAC